AACGAACGCUGGCGGCAUGCCUAACACAUGCCAGUCGAACAAGACCUUCGGGUCUAGUGGCGCACGGGUGCGUAACGCGUGGGAACCUGCCCUUAGGUUCGGAAUAACUCCCCGAAAGGGGUGCUAAUACCGGAUAAUGUCUUCGGACCAAAGAUUUAUCGCCUUUGGAUGGGCCCGCGUUGGAUUAGCUAGUUGGUAGGGUAAAAGCCUACCAAGGCGACGAUCCAUAGCUGGUCUGAGAGGAUGAUCAGCCACACUGGGACUGAGACACGGCCCAGACUCCUACGGGAGGCAGCAGUGGGGAAUAUUGGACAAUGGGCGAAAGCCUGAUCCAGCAAUGCCGCGUGAGUGAUGAAGGCCUUAGGGUUGUAAAGCUCUUUUACCCGGGAUGAUAAUGACAGUACCGGGAGAAUAAGCGCCGGCUAACUCCGUG
rnacentral:rRNA from 1 species